CGUACGCUUCUUUUUCCCCGGAGCUUGCUCCACCGGAAAAAGAAGAGUGGCGAACGGGUGAGUAACACGUGGGUAACCUGCCCAUCAGAAGGGGAUAACACUUGGAAACAGGUGCUAAUACCGUAUAACAAUCGAAACCGCAUGGUUUUGAUUUGAAAGGCGCUUUCGGGUGUCGCUGAUGGAUGGACCCGCGGUGCAUUAGCUAGUUGGUGAGGUAACGGCUCACCAAGGCCACGAUGCAUAGCCGACCUGAGAGGGUGAUCGGCCACAUUGGGACUGAGACACGGCCCAAACUCCUACGGGAGGCAGCAGUAGGGAAUCUUCGGCAAUGGACGAAAGUCUGACCGAGCAACGCCGCGUGAGUGAAGAAGGUUUUCGGAUCGUAAAACUCUGUUGUUAGAGAAGAACAAGGAUGAGAGUAACUGUUCAUCCCUUGACGGUAUCUAACCAGAAAGCCACGGCUAACUACGUGCCAGCAGCCGCGGUAAUACGUAGGUGGCAAGCGUUGUCCGGAUUUAUUGGGCGUAAAGCGAGCGCAGGCGGUUUCUUAAGUCUGAUGUGAAAGCCCCCGGCUCAACCGGGGAGGGUCAUUGGAAACUGGGAGACUUGAGUGCAGAAGAGGAGAGUGGAAUUCCAUGUGUAGCGGUGAAAUGCGUAGAUAUAUGGAGGAACACCAGUGGCGAAGGCGGCUCUCUGGUCUGUAACUGACGCUGAGGCUCGAAAGCGUGGGGAGCAAACAGGAUUAGAUACCCUGGUAGUCCACGCCGUAAACGAUGAGUGCUAAGUGUUGGAGGGUUUCCGCCCUUCAGUGCUGCAGCUAACGCAUUAAGCACUCCGCCUGGGGAGUACGACCGCAAGGUUGAAACUCAAAGGAAUUGACGGGGGCCCGCACAAGCGGUGGAGCAUGUGGUUUAAUUCGAAGCAACGCGAAGAACCUUACCAGGUCUUGACAUCCUUUGACCACUCUAGAGAUAGAGCUUCCCCUUCGGGGGCAAAGUGACAGGUGGUGCAUGGUUGUCGUCAGCUCGUGUCGUGAGAUGUUGGGUUAAGUCCCGCAACGAGCGCAACCCUUAUUGUUAGUUGCCAUCAUUUAGUUGGGCACUCUAGCAAGACUGCCGGUGACAAACCGGAGGAAGGUGGGGAUGACGUCAAAUCAUCAUGCCCCUUAUGACCUGGGCUACACACGUGCUACAAUGGGAAGUACAACGAGUCGCGAAGUCGCGAGGCUAAGCUAAUCUCUUAAAGCUUCUCUCAGUUCGGAUUGUAGGCUGCAACUCGCCUACAUGAAGCCGGAAUCGCUAGUAAUCGCGGAUCAGCACGCCGCGGUGAAUACGUUCCCGGGCCUUGUACACACCGCCCGUCACACCACGAGAGUUUGUAACACCCGAAGUCGGUG
rnacentral:rRNA from 1 species